rnacentral:rRNA from 1 species
GGUUAAGCGACUAAGCGUACACGGUGGAUGCCCUGGCAGUCAGAGGCGAUGAAGGACGUGCUAAUCUGCGAAAAGCGUCGGUAAGGUGAUAUGAACCGUUACAGCCGGCGAUGUCCGAAUGGGGAAACCCAGUGCAAUUCGUUGCACUAUCGUUAACUGAAUACAUAGGUUAACGAGGCGAACCGGGGGAACUGAAACAUCUAAGUACCCCGAGGAAAAGAAAUCAACCGAGAUUCCCCCAGUAGCGGCGAGCGAACGGGGAGCAGCCCAGAGUCUGAAUCAGCUUGUGUGUUAGUGGAACGGUCUGGAAAGUCCGACGGUACAGGGUGAUAGUCCCGUACACCAAAAUGCACAGGCUGUGAACUCGAAGAGUAGGGCGGGACACGUGGUAUCCUGUCUGAAUAUGGGGGGACCAUCCUCCAAGGCUAAAUACUCCUGACUGACCGAUAGUGAACCAGUACCGUGAGGGAAAGGCGAAAAGAACCCCGGCGAGGGGAGUGAAAAAGAACCUGAAACCGUGUACGUACAAGCAGUGGGAGCACCUUCGGGUGUGACUGCGUACCUUUUGUAUAAUGGGUCAGCGACUUAUAUUCUGUAGCAAGGUUAACCGUAUAGGGGAGCCGCAGGGAAACCGAGUCUUAACUGGGCGUUAAGUUGCAGGGUAUAGACCCGAAACCCGGUGAUCUAGCCAUGGGCAGGUUGAAGGUUGGGUAACACUAACUGGAGGACCGAACCGACUAAUGUUGAAAAAUUAGCGGAUGACUUGUGGCUGGGGGUGAAAGGCCAAUCAAACCGGGAGAUAGCUGGUUCUCCCCGAAAGCUAUUUAGGUAGCGCCUCGUGAAUUCAUCUUCGGGGGUAGAGCACUGUUUCGGCUAGGGGGUCAUCCCGACUUACCAACCCGAUGCAAACUACGAAUACCGAAGAAUGUUAUCACGGGAGACACACGGCGGGUGCUAACGUCCGUCGUGAAGAGGGAAACAACCCAGACCGCCAGCUAAGGUCCCAAAGUCAUGGUUAAGUGGGAAACGAUGUGGGAAGGCACAGACAGCCAGGAUGUUGGCUUAGAAGCAGCCAUCAUUUAAAGAAAGCGUAAUAGCUCACUGGUCGAGUCGGCCUGCGCGGAAGAUGUAACGGGGCUAAACCAUGCACCGAAGCUGCGGCAGCGACACUAUGUGUUGUUGGGUAGGGGAGCGUUCUGUAAGCCUGCGAAGGUGUGCUGUGAGGCAUGCUGGAGGUAUCAGAAGUGCGAAUGCUGACAUAAGUAACGAUAAAGCGGGUGAAAAGCCCGCUCGCCGGAAGACCAAGGGUUCCUGUCCAACGUUAAUCGGGGCAGGGUGAGUCGACCCCUAAGGCGAGGCCGAAAGGCGUAGUCGAUGGGAAACAGGUUAAUAUUCCUGUACUUGGUGUUACUGCGAAGGGGGGACGGAGAAGGCUAUGUUAGCCGGGCGACGGUUGUCCCGGUUUAAGCAUGUAGGCUGGUUGUCCAGGCAAAUCCGGAUAAUCAAGGCUGAGGUGUGAUGACGAGGCACUACGGUGCUGAAGUAACAAAUGCCCUGCUUCCAGGAAAAGCCUCUAAGCAUCAGGUAACAUCAAAUCGUACCCCAAACCGACACAGGUGGUCAGGUAGAGAAUACCAAGGCGCUUGAGAGAACUCGGGUGAAGGAACUAGGCAAAAUGGUGCCGUAACUUCGGGAGAAGGCACGCUGGUGUGUAGGUGAAGUCCCUGCGGAUGGAGCUGAGACCAGUCGAAGAUACCAGCUGGCUGCAACUGUUUAUUAAAAACACAGCACUGUGCAAACACGAAAGUGGACGUAUACGGUGUGACGCCUGCCCGGUGCCGGAAGGUUAAUUGAUGGGGUUAUCCGUAAGGAGAAGCUCUUGAUCGAAGCCCCGGUAAACGGCGGCCGUAACUAUAACGGUCCUAAGGUAGCGAAAUUCCUUGUCGGGUAAGUUCCGACCUGCACGAAUGGCGUAAUGAUGGCCAGGCUGUCUCCACCCGAGACUCAGUGAAAUUGAACUCGCUGUGAAGAUGCAGUGUACCCGCGGCAAGACGGAAAGACCCCGUGAACCUUUACUAUAGCUUGACACUGAACAUUGAGCCUUGAUGUGUAGGAUAGGUGGGAGGCUUUGAAGCGUGGACGCCAGUCUGCGUGGAGCCAACCUUGAAAUACCACCCUUUAAUGUUUGAUGUUCUAACGUUGGCCCCUGACCGGGGUUGCGGACAGUGUCUGGUGGGUAGUUUGACUGGGGCGGUCUCCUCCCAAAGCGUAACGGAGGAGCACGAAGGUUAGCUAAUCCUGGUCGGACAUCAGGAGGUUAGUGCAAUGGCAUAAGCUAGCUUGACUGCGAGCGUGACGGCGCGAGCAGGUGCGAAAGCAGGUCAUAGUGAUCCGGUGGUUCUGAAUGGAAGGGCCAUCGCUCAACGGAUAAAAGGUACUCCGGGGAUAACAGGCUGAUACCGCCCAAGAGUUCAUAUCGACGGCGGUGUUUGGCACCUCGAUGUCGGCUCAUCACAUCCUGGGGCUGAAGUAGGUCCCAAGGGUAUGGCUGUUCGCCAUUUAAAGUGGUACGCGAGCUGGGUUUAGAACGUCGUGAGACAGUUCGGUCCCUAUCUGCCGUGGGCGCUGGAGAAUUGAGGGGGGCUGCUCCUAGUACGAGAGGACCGGAGUGGACGCAUCACUGGUGUUCGGGUUGUCAUGCCAAUGGCACUGCCCGGUAGCUAAAUGCGGAAGAGAUAAGUGCUGAAAGCAUCUAAGCACGAAACUUGCCCCGAGAUGAGUUCUCCCUGAGACUUUAAGUCUCCUGAAGGAACGUUGAAGACGACGACGUUGAUAGGCCGGGUGUGUAAGCGCAGCGAUGCGUUGAGCUAACCGGUACUAAUGAACCGUGAGGCUUAACCUU